rnacentral:rRNA from 1 species
UAGGGAAUCUUCCACAAUGGACGCAAGUCUGAUGGAGCAACGCCGCGUGAGUGAAGAAGGUUUUCGGACCGUAAAGCUCUGUUGUUGGUGAAGAAGGAUAGAGGUAGUAACUGGCCUUUAUUUGACGGUAAUCAACCAGAAAGUCACGGCUAACUACGUGCCAGCAGCCGCGGUAAUCGUAGGUGGCAAGCGUUGUCCGGAUUUAUUGGGCGUAAAGCGAGCGCAGGCGGAAGAAUAAGUCUGAUGUGAAAGCCCUCGGCUUAACCGAGGAAUUGCAUCGGAAACUGUUUUCUUGAGUGCAGAAGAGGAGAGUAGAACUCCAUGUGUAGCGGUGGAAUGCGUAGAUAUAUGGAAGAAUACCAGUGGCGAAGGCGGCUCUCUGGUCUGCAACUGACGCUGAGGCUCGAAAGCAUGGGUAGCGAACAGGAUUAGAUACCCUGGUAGUCCAUGCCGUAAACGAUGAGUGCUAAGUGUUGGGAGGCUUCCGCCUCUCAGUGCUGCAGCUAACGCAUUAAGCACUCCGCCUGGGGGAGUACGACCGCAAGGUU